AGAGGAAGACGUUAUUGAGAGCCAUCGUGGAUGGUUCCGUCUUCCCUCGAGGGAGGACGUCGGAUAUAUUUCCGUUCUUCCCUCGAGAAGUCUCUACUAAAGUCUUCACUUGACACUUCACCUCAUUUAAACUCUCAAUAGCUACAUUGAGAUAAUUUACGGUAAACCUCUUUUGAAAGUGCAUAUAAGAAAUAUUUGUAAAAUAAACGAAGAAGUUACAGGCAGCGGAUCUAGGUACCCAUAACAAUAACCAGUGUCAGUGUUACAAAAAACGCACAAAAAAAAACAGUAAUAUUAUAUACUGUUACAAAGAAGAUAUCGUUACAGGGGGCUCAGUCUAGGACCAAUCUAUGGUGACCAGUCUAUAGGACCAGUCUACAGUUUCCAGUUAGUCAAGUGUACUCCAAGUAACCGUGACAAUUCUCAUAACAGAAGUUAUUCGUCACACUGGAGUUGAUUAACAGUUGAGAUAAUCUGUUCCGUUACACAUACGGUGAUGUAACAGAAAAAUUUAAACAGUUUCAUAAGUGGCAGCGAGAAAGACCGGAUCCAUAUCUGAUAUCAGUGUCAAUAUUUUUUUUAGAAACUUAAUUUUUUUUUUCCUGAAAAAAUAUCUAAGUGCACGUGGAUAUAUAUCGUCGUGAGAAGUUUUCUGUUGAGUGAUUUUCAUUUUGUCAUCUAAGAAGAUGUUCCAAAAAAUUAUAUCGAUAACCAAUACUGAGUUAUUGAUAUAAUUAAUUGUUGUCAUUAUGGCAAUACUCCUGUGAGCUGAAGUGAACAGUAGUUCUGCAAAUGAAUCGUUCACUGUCACAUGACGUGACUCUAGUUGUUGUGACUACUCAUCAACCAACAUACUGUCAACAAAAUUCUUUCGUAUGGCUUGAGUAACCCCCAGUUACCAGCACCCCAGCACCCUCCUAGUGAUGACACCUUUCUCUGACCACGAAGGUUGUCGAGCCUUGUGUCAUCAUUAUGAGUAUGGCGUGGUGGAUGCACAGUGUACCCAGUGAACCCAAGAGUCCUUGAGUUCACUGACAGGGAGCAGCAGUUUGCUGUACUAAGGAUUUUCGUGGACAUUGACCCAGUCACCAGGACCUUCGCAUCAGCUGUCUCCUGUGAGUGACACACGCAAGUCUAUGGGAUUGCGGCAACAUUUUCACAUUUUCAAGAAAUUCCAGGAAGGAUUCUUCGUGCCAAGCCUACAAGGAAUUGGCUGUGGAUGGCUAGGCCGUAACUUGCUGGUCAGUGAACGCGGGACAACUGUACGUGAUUGAUUCGUGUAUCGGACAUGUGACGCACCAGGGUACAGAGGGUUGUCACUGUCAGGCUCCAUCAGUUCCGUCUGUGCUUCCUGGUGAGCAGGUUGAGCACUGCAAGAAGCCUAAGAUUUAGAAAUCGCUCUCCAGUACUCUUAAUGCAUUGGUAAAUGUAUACAUUGACUUCACCACCGAUGGCCAAGUAUUAUUUUGUAAAUACUGUGAGGUCGUGGUUUCUUCAUCCAAGAAAUUUCAAGUGCAGCAACAUAUUCAAACUGCAAAGCAUGCCAUGAAAAAAGAAGCCAAAACGAGUGCCAAACAACAGACACUGCUCCCCGCAACAGUGUCGCGGCCUGGGCCGGAACAUUUUCAGUUUAAUCAAGAUCUUUGUAGAGCCUUGGUCUCGGCUGAUAUACCAUUGAAUAAGCUGAACAACAAGGAACUGGUCUCAUUCUUAGAGAAGUACACGGAUCAAAAAGUGCCAAGUGAAUCAACACUGAGAAAAAAAUGAUGUUCCUGAUCUUUACAAUGAAACUUUAGAUAGACUGAGAGAGAAGGUAGGUGAUAAUUCCAUCUGGGUAUCAUUGGAUGAGACAACAGAUGUAGAUGCAAGAUGCGUUGCAAAUUUUGUGUUUGGCAUUUUGGGGCCAGAAGAAGAAAGAGACAAAUCAUACUUGCUUAAUUUGAAGGUCUUAGAUAAGGUAAAUCACUCAACCAUGGCAGCAUUUUUCACUGAUUCCUUGGGAUGAUUAUGGGUGGAUGGCAUCAAGUAUGAUCGUGUACUUCUUGUAUGCACUGAUGCAGCCCCAUAUAUGGUUAAAUGUAUGGCAGGACUAGAAAUUCUGUUUCCAAAAAUGAUUCAUGUGACUUGUUUAGCCCAUGGCCUGCACAGGGUUGCUGAAUUAGCUCGUGCAGUUAUGCCUGAUGUGAAUGUGUUGAUUUCUACUGUGAAGAAGGUAUUUCUGAAAGCACGGAGUCGCAAAGAGAGAUUUCGACAAAUUGCUGGUACUGUGCCACUUCCUUCUUCACCAGUAGUGACUAGAUGGGGCACCUGGAUCGAGGCAGCAUUGUACUACGCUGACAAUUUUGAAACUGUCAAGUGUGUAGUUGAAUCAUUUGAUCCCACAGCAUCUGUACAUAUGAAGGAGGCACAAAAUGUACUCAAGAAGGAUGGCUUGCAGGAGGAUCUAAUUUUCAUGAGAGCCAACUUAGCAUGUAUUUCCUUUGCAAUCCUCAAGUUGGAGAAAAAGGACUAACUCUUAAGAGCAGCAUGGAUGUAGUACAAGAGGUUGUUGAUUCUUUGAGUCACCUUGAGAAGAAGGAUUACUUUGAAAAAAUCAGCCAGGUUCUUGCUAAAAACAAAGGUUACAGCCGACUGAAGAAAAUCAGUGAGAUAUUGCAAAGCAAUUCUUCUCUUGAUGCUACCACUCAAGGAGAACUUGAGCUGUCAGACAUAGUUAAGUUACAGUAUGCUCCUAUCGUUUCGUGCGAUGUUGAACGAGUGUUUUCACAGUACAAAUGCAUUCUUGCUGACAACAGGCGAAAGUUUGUGUUUGAAAAUCUACUCCACCAUGUUGUAAUCAAAUGCAAUUCACUUUCAUAAACAGCUUGGGGGUUAUUUAAUAAUUGAUUUUGAACAAGGUUAGGCUACAUAUCUUAAAAGUAGCAAAUUCCUACAUUCAGUUAAUAUAAGGAAAUGUAUUGGUGUUUUUCUGUAUUAUCAAGUAAAUUAUUUUGUCAGUACA